UACGGAGGGAACUAGCGUUGUUCGGAAUUACUGGGCGUAAAGCGCACGUAGGCGGCUUUGUAAGUUAGAGGUGAAAGCCCGGGGCUCAACUCCGGAACUGCCUUUAAGACUGCAUCGCUUGAAUCCAGGAGAGGUGAGUGGAAUUCCGAGUGUAGAGGUGAAAUUCGUAGAUAUUCGGAAGAACACCAGUGGCGAAGGCGGCUCACUGGACUGGUAUUGACGCUGAGGUGCGAAAGCGUGGGGAGCAAACAGG
rnacentral:rRNA from 1 species